rnacentral:rRNA from 1 species
GACGAACGCUGGCGGCGUGCUUAACACAUGCCAGUCGAACGGAAAGGCCUGCUUUCCCUUGUGGAUUGCGGGUACUCGAGUGGCGAACGGGUGAGUAACACGUGAGUUAUCUGCCCCCAACUUGGGUAUAAGCCUGGGAAACUGGGUCUAAUUCCCGAUAGGACUGCAGGGUGGUGCCUGUGGUGGAAAACGAUUUUCUAGUGGUUGGGGAUGAGCUCUCGGCCUAUCAGCUUGUUGGUGGGGUAAUGGCCUACCAAGGCGGCGACGGGGAGCCGGCCGGGGAGGGUGGACGGCGACAUUGGGACUGAGAGACGGCCCAGACUCCUGCGGGAGGCAGCAGUGGGGAAUAUUGCACAAUGGGCGGAAGCCUGAUGCAGCGACGCCGCGUGGGGGAUGACGGCCUUCGGGUGGUAAACUCCUUUCGACCGAGAGGAAGCCACCUGGUUGGAAGGGUGGUGACGGUAGUGGUAGAAGAAGCACCGGCUAACUACGUG